ACUAUCAAAAUUGACAUGAGUUCUGUCUGUUGUAACUAUGAUGUCUAGUACAGAUUAGGAGGACACUUUUGUUUAUCAAAAUACACUUUUCAACUAUUUGGAGUGUUAUGGGCUUGAAAUAUUCCAGUUAUGAUUGUAAAGUUAUCUUCUUCUUUUGUAGAAAGAUUAUCACUACACAUUAGAAUGAAAUUUCUAAUACCCAGAGAAAACAUAGUUUCCACAAUGCCAAACAAGAGGUCUCCAAAAUCACUUUGGUGACUUGUAAGCAAUGAUAUUAUACCACACAAUGAAACUGAGAGAGAAAAAAACUGCACUUCCUUUAUUUUGAAAAUGCAGCAAAAGGAAAUUGUGUAUCAUAUAAAAACUACAGAGAUGAUUCUGGAUCUGUGCAUGAAAAGAGAAAUGAUUAUCAGAUAGAAAAUAUAUAUGUGAGAAUUAGCUUUUGAUAUAUAUCAAAGAAGACUGAUUACUGAGCUUUGUAUAAGAUAAUUCAUGACAUGUUACAUGUGAAUUAAAGGAAAAUUGAGGAAUAAUGCAAUUUUCAGUAUGACAACAAAUGAAUAUCAAUAUGUUGAACAAUAGUGUUUCUGGAACUUAGAAGACAGAGAAAUAAAAAUAUAAUCAGAGGAAAAUACUGUGUACUUGUUUCUUGUGGGGAUUUACAUACAAAAGGAAAUUGUCUGAUAAAACAUGUUAUAAUAUUGUGAUGAUUUAAAAUCUGUGAGAAAUGAAAUGUUUAUGAAUAUUUAUGACAUUUAUUACUAAGAUGUCAAAACAGACUGAUAGCUUUAAAUAACAAUGUGUAAAGCUGAUUUGUGGCAUACAAAAAAGUGAAUUUAAAAUAAACCAGUUGAAAAACAUUGAAGCCAAACAAUGUUUAGUAUUACAACAAAUGGAUAUCAAACAAGGAACCAACAACUAAUUUGAUUCUGGAACAUGUAAGAAAGAGACAUUUUAAAGGUUUGAAUGUGAUUUGGAUUUAUUUAAUGAAAAAAAUUAGUGUAGCAGGAUUUGAUAUUUUCAAAAUAAAGUGUGAGGCAUUA